rnacentral:rRNA from 1 species
AACGAACGCUGGCGGCAGGCUUAACACAUGCAAGUCGAGCGCCCCGCAAGGGGAGCGGCAGACGGGUGAGUAACGCGUGGGAAUCUACCCAUCUCUACGGAAUAACGCAUGGAAACGUGUGCUAAUACCGUAUACGUCCUUCGGGAGAAAGAUUUAUCGGAGAUGGAUGAGCCCGCGUUGGAUUAGCUAGUUGGUUGGAUAAAUGCCUACCAAGGCGACGCUCCAUAGCUGGUCUGAGAGGAUGAUCAGCCACACUGGGACUGAGACACGGCCCAGACGCCUACGGGAGGCAGCAGUGGGGAAUAUUGGACAAUGGGCGCAAGCCUGAUCCAGCCAUGCCGCGUGAGUGAUGAAGGCCCUAGGGUUGUAAAGAUCCUUCACCGGUGAAGAUCAUGACGGUAACCGGAGAAGAAGCCCCGGCUAACUUCGUGCCAGCAGCCGCCGCAGUAA